UAUACAAAGAAAAGUAUUUCUUUUAUGACAAAAAUAUCCUCCAAAUACAAACUAAAAAUCUUUCAAGUACGAAAAAAAAUCCUCCAAGUACAAACUAAAAUCUUUCAAGUACAAAAGAAUCCUUCAAGUAUAAAAAAAAAAUCCUACAAGUACAAAACAAAAUUCUACAAGUACGAAAACCUGUCACGUGACUUUUGGCACUAAUUUUCCGCCUUGCUGAUCCACACACACGCCUUCAGAUCCACACACAUGCUUGUAAAAUGGGAUGUAAUUCGCACUCCACAACAGCAGGUGGCGCUGUUACCGACUUGCUUGCCGCCGCCACGGACAUGGAAAGAGAAGAGAAGAAGAAACGCUAGCGUGAGGAGGGUGUUUUGAACACGAUGAGCUGCCAACAGACUACAAGCUAGUCUUGAUGUCUUCACCAGUGGAUGGGAUAAUCACCCACUUAGAACUGAGGGUAACCUAACACCCAAUCAGCUGUGGGAGAUGGGGAACAUUCAGCAUGCUAUGGCAGAACCAGAAAAUGCAGAGGGAUUGUACCUACCACAUUUGGACUGGGAGGACAGUGGCCUGCCUGAGGAGCCACACCAUGGUGUCACUGUUCCUGAGAUGGGCAAUGUACUGAGUGAUGAACAAAUGGCAGCACUAAGGAGAGAUAUAAAUCCCCUGGGACACUCCCAAUCACAUGGCUCAGA